AUACGGAGGAUCCGAGCGUUAUCCGGAUUUAUUGGGUUUAAAGGGUGCGCAGGCGGCCAUUUAAGUCAGCGGUUAAAUCGUGGGGCUCAACCCCAUUCUGCCGUUGAUACUGGGUGGUUUGAUUGCGGUCGAGGUUGGCGGAAUUCGUUGUGUAGCGGUGAAAUGCAUAGAUAUGACGAAGAACACCGAUUGCGUAGGCAGCUGACCAGACCGCAAAUGACGCUCAUGCACGAAAGUGCGGGGAUCGAACAGGAUUAGAUACCCUGGUAGUCCGCACAGUAAACGAUGAAUACUUGUUUUCGGCGAUAUAAUGUCGGAGGCAAAGCGAAAGCGAUAAGUAUUCCACCUGGGGAGUACGCCGGCAACGGUGAAACUCAAAUGAAUUGACGGGG
rnacentral:rRNA from 1 species